UUUUAUAGAUGUAUUCAAUAGUUGUUUUUACUGAAAAGAAUGAGACCGAGGUUAUACCAAGUGACUGGCUGAGCAUCGACAAAAAAGUUUCCUUUUGGCCCCCAUAUAACGGUACAAGAUGUAGAAAAGCAGUUGAAAAAAAUGAAACUCCUGAUGAAGAAUGGGACGAAUAUGAAACUGAAUGGGUGGCUGAGUAUGGUUCCUAUGAAAAAGCCAGAAGAAAGCUGGUGAAGUUCUGUGAAGGCAACAGUUUGGAGUCUACAGAUGAGGACAGUGUACGGAAAAGAGUACCAUCGGCAAAAUAUGUAAAUGGAUUUACAUCUGGUACAGCCUCAGGAAGACCUCCAGUGCAGGCCUCAACAAGCCGGCUCCACACAGAGACAAUGGAAAGACCAAAAAAGAAAUUCUGCAGUAAUGGAGCCAAAAGCCUGACCUUGCCAACCAUACCUCUAUUUGCACCAUCAGCACCUGCUGUGACAGUCCCUGAACCAAGACAAGAUGACAAGAUAUCUUACCAGCUUGGGUGGAACAUCUGCCAAAGACAUUGUCCACAGAAUCAUGAGGGAAAUUAUGACCAAUGAGUUGGCCAACAAUUUUAAUUGGCAAGGGAGAGGACAGAAGAGCCCCUUUUCUGCGCUCUUGCUGGCAAAAGUUGUCAUAGGUGAUAUGUUUUAAAAAACAUUCAAAUAUUCAAAACUUAGACAUAACUUUGAAAUAGCAAAAGAGGAAACAACCCCUUACAGUCUCACAUAAUGUGUCAUUGAAUGAAAUACAAGUCAAUGGAAGAAUGCCAAUUAAUCAACUAAUCGUACAGAACUCUACAAAAUACAACUCAGAUGAUCUGUCGGCUAACCCUUUCUCUGUUUAAUUUUCUUUAAUUUCAUGCUGACAGAUGCAGCCAAAAAACAAGGCACAAAAGUGGUGGAAGCCGAGGAAAAAAUUAAAACCUGGCUGAAGUACAGUGGAGACCGAAAUGGAGGAAGAAAAAAAAGAGCAACAGAAAAAGAAAAGCAGAUGCCUCCCCCUCAUGCAGAUUCCAGCAGCUGCGAAAGUGAAUGAAAAGAUGCUGCUACUUCUCCUCCUCUGCUCCGUCUUCAUCAUAAGAGCCACACACAAUCUAAUUUGCUUCAAAUCUGCAAAAA